rnacentral:rRNA from 1 species
GUAAGGAAUAUUGGUCAAUGGGGGGAACCCUGAACCAGCCAUGCCGCGUGCAGGAAGACUGCCCUACGGGUUGUAAACUGCUUUUGUACGGGAAUAACCGUCGGUACGUGUACCGGCCUGAAUGUACCGUAAGAAUAAGGAUCGGCUAACUCCGUGCCAGCAGCCGCGGUAAUACGGAGGAUCCGAGCGUUAUCCGGAAUUAUUGGGUUUAAAGGGUGCGUAGGCGGCUUUCUAAGUCAGUGGUGAAAGACGGUGGCUCAACCAUCGCAGUGCCGUUGAUACUGGGGAGCUUGAAUGUACUUGAGGUAGGCGGAAUGUGGCAAGUAGCGGUGAAAUGCAUAGAUAUGCCACAGAACACCGAUUGCGAAGGCAGCUUACUAAGGUAUGAUUGACGCUGAGGCACGAAAGCGUGGGGAUCGAACAGGAUUAGAAACCCUAGUAGUCC